rnacentral:lncRNA from 1 species
CCAUGCACCCUCUGUCUAAUCCUCUGCGAUGGGGCCAGUCUGCAGAUCCGUCUGGGCGGGCUGCGGUAGCAUUCUCCACCUGCCAACACUCAGUUGCUGGUGAGUAACCAGCAUACGGACUCUCACUUCCUAGAUGACGCCUUGCUGUGUUGCCCAGGGUGGUCUCUAAUUCCUGGCCUUUAGCAAUUCUCCCGCCUUGGCCUCCUAAAGCACUGGGGUUACAGGCAUGAACCACUGUGCCCAGCCUGCAUGAUGUAAUCUCCAAAUUGAGGGUCACCCAGGCAUGGAAUGCACAGCUCUGCCAGACAGAAAGCGCUUUGGAUGCCUGAGAAACAACAGCUUGUCCGGGCUACUGAUGCGAAGAGAGGCCAUGGUUUCCUUUUUCUCUGCUCUGAAUGGCAGCCUUGACGUCACAACAGCUAGGAACCACUGGAGGGACAAAUAACAAGGCGCAAGCCAGAAGCGCCCUGCUCUGUCGCAGGGGCAGGGCCAUUUUCAUCCAGUUCUGAUGUCUUCUGUGGCCGCUGCGAGUCGGCGGGAGUAGAGACAAAUGACUGGAGCUUUAGGCGUAAAGGCGGUCUCUCUCUAGGCUGAUCAAACAGCCCUUUGCCCAGUGCUAAUUGCCUUCACGGAACCUGGAUAAACUACAGUUCCCGAAUUAAACUUGUUUCUGAUGAACUAG